GUUUGAUCCUGGCUCAGGAUGAACGCUGGCGGCGUGCUUAACACAUGCAAGUCGAACGAAGCACUUUGAUCGAUUUCUUCGGAUUGAAAUCUUAGUGACUGAGUGGCGGACGGGUGAGUAACGCGUGGGUAACCUGCCUCACACAGGGGGAUAACAGUUGGAAACGGCUGCUAAUACCGCAUAAGC
rnacentral:rRNA from 1 species